CGAAAACGAAUUCUCUCUUGAGUGGAUCCUGAGUACGACGGAGCACGUGAAAUUCCGUCGGAAUCUGGGAGGACCAUCUCCUAAGGCUAAAUACUCUCUAGUGACCGAUAGUGAACCAGUACCGUGAGGGAAAGGUGAAAAGUACCCCGGAAGGGGAGUGAAAGAGAACUUGAAACCGUGUGCUUACAAGUAGUCAGAGCCCGUUAAUGGGUGAUGGCGUGCCUUUUGUAGAAUGAACCGGCGAGUUACGAUCUGAUGCAAGGUUAAGCAGAAAAUGUGGAGCCGUAGCGAAAGCGAGUCUGAAUAGGGCGAAUGAGUAUUUGGUCGUAGACCCGAAACCAGGUGAUCUACCCUUGGUCAGGUUGAAGUUCAGGUAACACUGAAUGGAGGACCGAACCGACUUACGUUGAAAAGUGAGCGGAUGAACUGAGGGUAGCGGAGAAAUUCCAAUCGAACUUGGAGAUAGCUGGUUCUCUCCGAAAUAGCUUUAGGGCUAGCCUCAAGUGAUGAUUAUUGGAGGUAGAGCACUGUUUGGACGAGGGGCCCCUCUCGGGUUACCGAAUUCAGACAAACUCCGAAUGCCAAAUAAUUUAACUUGGGAGUCAGAAUGUGGGUGAUAAGGUCCAUAUUCGAAAGGGAAACAGCCCAGACCACCAGCUAAGGUCCCAAAAUAUAUGUUAAGUGGAAAAGGAUGUGGCGUUGCCCAGACAACUAGGAUGUUGGCUUAGAAGCAGCCAUCAUUUAAAGAGUGCGUAAUAGCUCACUAGUCGAGUGACACUGCGCCGAAAAUGUACCGGGGCUAAACAUAUUACCGAAGCUGUGGAUUGUCCUUUGGACAAUGGUAGGAGAGCGUUCUAAGGGCGUUGAAGCAUGAUCGCAAGGACAUGUGGAGCGCUUAGAAGUGAGAAUGCCGGUGUGAGUAGCGAAAGACGGGUGAGAAUCCCGUCCACCGAUUGACUAAGGUUUCCAGAGGAAGGCUCGUCCGCUCUGGGUUAGUCGGGUCCUAAGCUGAGGCCGACAGGCGUAGGCGAUGGAUAACAGGUUGAUAUUCCUGUACCACCAUUAUUCGUUUUAAGCGAUGGGGGGACGCAGUAGGAUAGGCGAAGCGUGCUGUUGGAGUGCACGUCCAAGCAGUGAGAUUGAGUGUUAGGCAAAUCCGGCACUCUUAAGAUUGAGCUGUGAUGGGGAGAGGAACUUGUUCCUCGAGUCGUUGAUUUCACACUGCCGAGAAAAGCCUCUAGCUAGAAUAACGGUGCCCGUACCGCAAACCGACACAGGUAGUCAAGAUGAGAAUUCUAAGGUGAGCGAGCGAACUCUCGUUAAGGAACUCGGCAAAAUGACCCCGUAACUUCGGGAGAAGGGGUGCUCUUUGAGGUUCACGCUUCGAAGAGCCGCAGUGAAUAGGCCCAAGCGACUGUUUAUCAAAAACACAGGUCUCUGCUAAACCGUAAGGUGACGUAUAGGGGCUGACGCCUGCCCGGUGCUGGAAGGUUAAGAGGAGUGGUUAGCGCAAGCGAAGCUACGAAUCGAAGCCCCAGUAAACGGCGGCCGUAACUAUAACGGUCCUAAGGUAGCGAAAUUCCUUGUCGGGUAAGUUCCGACCCGCACGAAAGGCGUAACGAUUUGGGCACUGUCUCAACGAGAGACUCGGUGAAAUCAUAGUACCGGUGAAGAUGCCGGUUACCCGCGACAGGACGGAAAGACCCCGUGGAGCUUUACUGUAGCCUGAUAUUGAAAUUCGGUACAGUUUGUACAGGAUAGGUAGGAGCCUUAGAAGCGUGAGCGCUAGCUUACGUGGAGGCAUUGGUGGGAUACUACCCUAAUUGUAUUGGAUUUCUAACCCGCAGCACUUAUCGUGCUGGGAGACAGUGUCAGGCGGGCAGUUUGACUGGGGCGGUCGCCUCCUAAAGAGUAACGGAGGCGCUCAAAGGUUCCCUCAGAAUGGUUGGAAAUCAUUCAUAGAGUGUAAAGGCAUAAGGGAGCUUGACUGCGAGACCUACAAGUCGAGCAGGGUCGAAAGACGGACUUAGUGAUCCGGUGGUUCCGCAUGGAAGGGCCAUCGCUCAACGGAUAAAAGCUACCCCGGGGAUAACAGGCUUAUCUCCCCCAAGAGUUCACAUCGACGGGGAGGUUUGGCACCUCGAUGUCGGCUCAUCGCAUCCUGGGGCUGUAGUCGGUCCCAAGGGUUGGGCUGUUCGCCCAUUAAAGCGGUACGCGAGCUGGGUUCAGAACGUCGUGAGACAGUUCGGUCCCUAUCCGUCGUGGGCGUAGGAAAUUUGAGAGGAGCUGUCCUUAGUACGAGAGGACCGGGAUGGACAUACCUCUGGUGUACCAGUU
rnacentral:rRNA from 1 species